UACGUAGGGCGCAAGCGUUGUCCGGAAUUAUUGGGCGUAAAGAGCUCGUAGGCGGUUUGUCGCGUCUGCUGUGAAAACCUAAGGCUCAACCUUGGGCUUGCAGUGGGUACGGGCAGACUAGAGUGCGGUAGGGGUGACUGGAAUUCCUGGUGUAGCAGUGGAAUGCGCAGAUAUCAGGAGGAACACCGAUGGCGAAGGCAGAUCUCUGGGCCGUAACUGACGCUGAGGAGCGAAAGCAUGGGGAGCGAACAGG
rnacentral:rRNA from 1 species